GCACUUGUUUGCUUCAGCCAUAAGGCUACGAUUGACAGCAUGCUCCCAACUAAAAGCUACAGCCUGCAAGGGAUCAUGUCUGCUAAUUCGCAGUUCUUCCUCUUUGAAGUGCCAUUGAUAUUCCAAACUUGUGAAGUCUCCCGAACUGAAACGGAAUCCUCAAACGUGGCAUAACUUCUCAUGAAGCUUUUUGUAGCAAUCUGACAUUAGCAGAAAUGUCAUUACUUAUGCUUAGCUGAUGGCACAAAAUCUACACUUCAGCCAGACAUGGCACCAAGUCAGCGUUGAUGCCUGUUCCCUACUUGAUCCCUUUCGGCAAGCUCUGACUUUUUAAUGUUGCAAUAUUAAUUAGUUUUAUUAUUUUAAUUGCACAGAGCAACCUGUGAUCAAUAAAGGCAUGCUUUUAUCUUUGUAAUUGAUCCCUCAUUCAUAAAUAUGCA
rnacentral:lncRNA from 11 species